rnacentral:rRNA from 1 species
CCUACGGGUGGCAGCAGUCGAGAAUCAUUCACAAUGGGGGAAACCCUGAUGGUGCGACGCCGCGUGGGGGAAUGAAGGUCUUCGGAUUGUAAACCCCUGUCAUGUGGGAGCAAAUUAAAAAGAUAGUACCACAAGAGGAAGAGACGGCUAACUCUGUGCCGGCAGACGCGGUAAUACAGGGGUCUCAAGCGUUGUUCGGAAUCACUGGUCGUAAAGCGUGCGUAGGCUGGUUCGUAAGGCGUGUGGGACAGGCGCGGGGCCAAACCUCGGACGGCACAUGAUACUGCGAGACUAGAGUGAAGGAGGGGGAAGCGGAAUUCGCGGUGUAGCAGUGAAAUGCGUAGAUAUCGGGAGGAACACUCGUGGCGAAGGCGGGUUCCUGGACAUUAACUGACGCUGAGGCACGAAGGCCAGGGGAGCGAAAGGGAUUAGAUACCCCAGUAGUC